rnacentral:tRNA from 1 species
GGAGGGAUGGCACAGUUGGAGUGCAUUGCUCCUGGAAACAUCUGCCGUGGUCCGGAAGGUCAUCGGUUCAAAUCCGGCUCCCUCCA